rnacentral:rRNA from 1 species
ACUCAAAGGAAUAGACGGGGGUCCGCACAAGCGGUGGAACAUGUGGUUUAAUUCGACACUACGCGAGGAACCUUACCUGGGUUUGACAUGUAUAUGACAGUUUCAGAGAUGAAAUCUUCUAAGUUUUUAAUUUAGACAUAUACACAGGUGCUGCAUGGCUGUCGUCAGCUCGUGUCGUGAGAUGUUGGGUUAAGUCCUUUAACGAGCGCAACCCUUGCUGUCAGUUGCAACUGCCUUUUUAGGUAAAGCACUCUGGCGGGACUGCCUGGGAAACCAGGAGGAAGGUGGGGACGACGUCAAGUCAUCAUGGUCCUUAUAUCCAGGGCUACACACGUGUUACAAUGGCUAAGUACAAAGGGAUGCCACAUUGUAAAAUGGAGCAAAUCUCUAAAAUUAGUCUAAGUUCAGAUUGAGGUCUGCAACUCGACCUCAUGAAGUUGAAAUCGCUAGUAAUCGCAUAUCAGAACGAUGCGGUGAAUACGUUCUCGGGCCUUGUACACACCGCCCGU